UGGUGGGUAGUUUGACUGGGGCGGUCUCCUCCUAAAGAGUAACGGAGGAGCACGAAGGUUGGCUAAUCCUGGUCGGACAUCAGGAGGUUAGUGCAAUGGCAUAAGCCAGCUUGACUGCGAGCGUGACGGCGCGAGCAGGUGCGAAAGCAGGUCAUAGUGAUCCGGUGGUUCUGAAUGGAAGGGCCAUCGCUCAACGGAUAAAAGGUACUCCGGGGAUAACAGGCUGAUACCGCCCAAGAGUUCAUAUCGACGGCGGUGUUUGGCACCUCGAUGUCGGCUCAUCACAUCCUGGGGCUGAAGUAGGUCCCAAGGGUAUGGCUGUUCGCCAUUUAAAGUGGUACGCGAGCUGGGUUUAGAACGUCGUGAGACAGUUCGGUCCCUAUCUGCCGUGGGCGCUGGAGAACUGAGGGGGGCUGCUCCUAGUACGAGAGGACCGGAGUGGACGCAUCACUGGUGUUCGGGUUGUCAUGCCAAUGGCACUGCCCGGUAGCUAAAUGCGGAAGAGAUAAGUGCUGAAAGCAUCUAAGCACGAAACUUGCCCCGAGAUGAGUUCUCCCUGAGACUUUAGGUCUCCUGAAGGAACGUUGAAGACGACGACGUUGAUAGGCCGGGUGUGUAAGCGCAGCGAUGCGUUGAGCUAACCGGUACUAAUGAACCGUGAG
rnacentral:rRNA from 1 species